rnacentral:misc_RNA from 1 species
UACAACCCUGCCCCUCCAUCACCAGUCACUGAAAAAACCUUCAAAUCCACUGGCACUCCUUCAACUCCUUCUUCACCUUCCAUCCCUGGGAAAAAGUCCAAGUAUUCCAGAAAUUUCCACAACAACCCUCGUCAAAUACACCCCGCAUUUAAACCUUUAGUUAGAACCCGCAAGAUUCCAGUUGAAACCCCUGAUGAAACAGCAGGAAAAUCAGAUAUUGAUAUCAAAGUUGAUGAAAAUGGGGUUUGUUAUGAAUUUCCAGAAGCCCCUUUUGUAUAUCAAUAUAGCUAUACUGAAACACCAAAG